rnacentral:rRNA from 1 species
GGACGAACGCUGGCGGUGUGCUUCACACAUGCAAGUCGAACGAGGUAGCAAUACCUAGUGGCGGACGGGUGAGUAACGCGUGGGAAUCUGCCUUUAGAUGGGGGAUAACGGGUCGAAAGACUCGCUAAUACCGCAUAUGACGAAAGUUGAAAGGAGUAAUCCGUCUAAAGAUGAGCCCGCGUCCGAUUAGCUAGUUGGUAGAGUAAAAGCCUACCAAGGCGACGAUCGGUAGCUGGUCUGAGAGGAUGAUCAGCCACAAUGGGACUGAGACACGGCCCAUACUCCUACGGGAGGCAGCAGUGGGAAUUUUACGCAAUGGGCGAAAGCCUGACGUAGCGACACCGCGUGAGCGAAGAAGCCCCUUGGGGUGUAAAGCUCUGUCAGCUGGAACGAAAAAAUGACGGUACCAGCAGAGGAAGCAUCGGCUAACUACGUG